AUUCCAGCUCCAGAAACGUAUAUUGAAUUAGCUGCGGUUAAAAAACUCGCAGUUGGCCUUCAGUCUAAGAAGAAUCAUUCGCCGAAAGGUUGUACCUCUGAAUUCGUCAGAAGCUCGUGCUGCACUUAACUGCGUGGUACGAAGUUCUGACCUCUUUACCUCGAGGAAAGUAGAUUGUUUGGAGGCAGGCCACCAAGCUUGAUUACAACGGCAUGGUAUAAUGAAGCUGAUCUCGGUUCGUUUUCGUUGGUUCUAGAGCUGAGGUGAUGAUCAAUAGUAGCACGUGAAGGUAGUCGUGCUUGAGAGCGAGGACUGAAAUCCGAGGAUUUUUUAAAGACGAUCCGAGGCGAAAGCAUGUGUCAAGGAUGUGUUCAUCA
rnacentral:rRNA from 1 species